rnacentral:tRNA from 1 species
GCCCAGGUGGCGAAAUUGGUAGACGCACAGGACUUAAAAUCCUGCGGACGCUUUAGUCCAUGCCGGUUCAAGUCCGGCCCUGGGUA